UACCAGCACCCCGAGUGGUCGGGACGAUUAUUGGGCCUAAAGCAUCCGUAGCCGGUUCUACAAGUCUUCCGUUAAAUCCACCUGCUUAACAGGUGGGCUGCGGAGGAUACUAUAGAGCUAGGAGGCGGGAGAGGCAAGCGGUACUUAGUGGGUAGGGGUAAAAUCCGUUGAUCCAUUGAAGACCACCAGUGGCGAAGGCGGCUUGCCAGAACGCGCUCGACGGUGAGGGAUGAAAGCUGGGGGAGCAAACCGG
rnacentral:rRNA from 1 species